GCGUCAAAGGAUUUUAUAAUAUGUUUGCCAUGAACUGCCAAAACGUUAUGAACUUACAUUCCAUAAAUGCCAACAGCUACUGCAAAACCAAUUGGUAUCGGGGCAACGGGUACUUUAUUUUUGCUGUCAACAGCCGUCAUUUGGACAGUAAGGACGAGUAAUGAUGUGGCUAAUAUUUCUGCCAGUAAUGCACUUCCAACUUUCACGUCCUUUCCCAGACCAUGUGCGCCUCCAUUAAUCAUCUCGUAAACCGCUUUGGUGAGUACAAUC